AUGGGAGAGCUGACCAAGAUUGGCAAUGCUUGAGAUGGAGACUCGAGUCAGAGGGUUGGCAACUUAGCUGGGGUUUAAUAAUGGGAAGCGAGAGGAUCCCUUGAAGAUUGAAGCCGAUCCAAACUCAAGGACCACUUCAACCGAGCCCAUACCAAGUCCAUUCCAGUUUCAUAACCAGCAUCAUCUAAGGUAUGGCCUGGUGGAAAUCGAUGUCACGCAUCGGGAUAGCUGACCUCUUCAUUCAAAUCAUUAAAGAUCAGGCCCUCCAUGCAUUAGCACUUUCGUGUGAAAGCCCGGAUCGGGUCAUGUGCAAUAUGUCCCAAACUGAUGCGGAAUGGGUCC
rnacentral:lncRNA from 1 species